rnacentral:rRNA from 1 species
AGCAUAUCAAUAAGCGGAGGAAAAGAAACCAACAGGGAUUGCCCUAGUAACGGCGAGUGAAGCGGCAACAGCUCAAAUUUGAAAUCUGGCCUCGGCCCGAGUUGUAAUUUGCAGAGGAUGCUUCUGGCGCGGUGCCUUCCGAGUUCCCUGGAACGGGACGCCACAGAGGGUGAGAGCCCCGUAUGGUCGGACACCAAGCCUGUGUGAAGCUCCUUCGACGAGUCGAGUAGUUUGGGAAUGCUGCUCUAAAUGGGAGGUAAAUCUCUUCUAAAGCUAAAUACCGGCCAGAGACCGAUAGCGCACAAGUAGAGUGAUCGAAAGAUGAAAAGCACCUUGAAAAGGGGGUUAAAUAGUACGUGAAAUUGUUGAAAGGGAAGCGUUUAUGACCAGACUUGGGCCGGGCGGCUCAUCAGGGGUUCUCCCCUGUGCACUCCGCCCGGCACAGGCCAGCAUCGGUUCUCGCGGGGGGAUAAGACCGACGGGAACGUAGCACCCUCCGGGGUGUGUUAUAGCCCGGCGGACGAUACCCCCGCUGGGGACCGAGGUUCGCGCUCCGCAAGGAUGCUGGCGUAAUGGUCAUCAGCGACCCGUCUUGAAACACGGACCAAGGAGUCGUCCAUUAGAGCGAGCGUUUGGGUGUAAAACCCGCACGCGUAAUGAAAGUGAACGCAGGUGAGAGCUUCGGCGCAUCAUCGACCGAUCCUGAUGUUCUCGGAAGGAUUUGAGUAAGAGUUUUAACGGACGGACCCGAAAGACAGUGAACUAUGCUUGUAUAGGGUGAAGCCAGAGGAAACUCUGGUGGAGGCUCGCAGCGGUUCUGACGUGCAAAUCGAUCGUCAAAUAUGAGCAUGGGGGCGAAAGACUAAUCGAACUGUCUAGUAGCUGGUUACCGCCGAAGUUUCCCUCAGGAUAGCAGUGUUGAUCUUCAGUUUUAUGAGGUAAAGCGAAUGAUUAGGGACUCGGGGGCUAUAUAUUGCCUUCAUCCAUUCUCAAACUUUAAAUAUGUAAGAAGCCCUUGUUACUUAAUUGAACGUGGGCAUUCGAAUGUACCAACACUAGUGGGCCAUUUUUGGUAAGCAGAACUGGCGAUGCGGGAUGAACCGAACGCGGGGUUAAGGCGCCAGAGUGUACGCUCAUCAGACACCACAAAAGGCGUUAGUACAUCUUGACAGCAGGACGGUGGCCAUGGAAGUCGGAAUCCGCUAAGGACUGUGUAACAACUCACCUGCCGAAUGUACUAGCCCUGAAAAUGGAUGGCGCUCAAGCGUACCGCCCAUACCCCGCCCCCAGGGUAGAAACGAUGCCCUGGGGAGUAGGCGGCCGUGGGGGUCAGUGACGAAGCCUAGGGCGUGAGCCCGGGUCGAACGGCCCCUAGUGCAGAUCU